GUUCUGUACCUGUGAGGGACGGCUCUUACAGGAGAAGGUUCUGUAUCUGUGAGGGACUGCUUUUAGGGGAGACGGUUCUGUACCUGUGAGGGACUGCUCUUAUCGGAGAAGGUUCUGUACCUGUGAAGGACUGCUCUUAGGGGAGAAGGUACAGUACCUGUGAGGAACUGCUCUUAGGGGAGAAGGUUCUGUAUAUGUGAGGGACUGCUCUUAGGGGAGAAGGUUCUGUAUCUGUGAGGGACUGCUCUUAGGGGAGAAGGUUCUGUAUCUGUGAGGGACUGCUCUUAGAGGAGAAGGUUCUGUACCUGUGAGGGACUGCUCUUAGGGGAG
ensembl:lncRNA